GCUUUUCCCUGAGGAAAUAGGAGACUAUCUGGGGACAACCUAAGAAUCUUUCUAGAAGCAAAUUGCUGCCCUGUUCAAGACCCAAGAUGCUACAUCAGAGUUCAAGCCUCUUGCAGGAUGGCGAAGUCUGACAGCUUAGCUUUGCUAUCCCUCAUGGGCAAGUACGCUUCCUUUGCCCCCUCCAAUUCAUUGCAAGAGUAAUGUGUCUUGUCCUGCUGCCAAUACUACCACAAUGGAUUACCGUGCUUCUCUGAAUAGAGAUACUGGUUUUUGUAAGCCACAGUCCAGCUAGUAGGGACACAGAGCAAUCAAUGUACCCCAACACUGAACUGAAGUACAACUUCAAGGGACUCUAGCCAAGAAGAUAAUUCGUCUUCUUCAGGAAGAUGUGGUACAUAUAUUCCUCUAUAAGGGUUUUGAGGAAAACUGGACUCCUGAAGAAGAGAAUCUAAGCCAAAACGUGUGCUCUGAAGCGAGAUGGAACUCAGGUCAUAGGACCUCUUGUUUUCCCCUCUUGUGCUGCCUCCUCUUUUAAUCAGUGAUAUUACUGGGUUUGCAGUGGGGCUUUCAGGCUUCAGCAUCCAGACACUAGAUUAGCUGCGUUAAUGCAA
rnacentral:lncRNA from 1 species